GGGUGGGGCUAGGAUGAAAUUUGAAAAAAAUAGGCAGGACAGGAGUUUUGAAUAAAAAAAAAGGCAGGAUGAGACACUUGCAAAAAAAAAAGUCAGGAUGACAAUUUAUGUAAAUAAAGUCAGGAUAAACUAAAAAAAAAAAGCAGGACCGAAUAGAGUGAAAAAUAAAAAGGCAGGACAGAGAUUACAACUAAAAAAAAAUGCAGGACAAAAUUUUUCAUCCUAAGCCCCCCCCCCCCCCCCCCCCCAUAAAAAUCAAAUGGUAGCU
rnacentral:lncRNA from 1 species